rnacentral:rRNA from 2 species
GAUUUCUGGUUGGAUGAGUUUGGCCCGCCAUGGUUUCAUGUGUGAGUGCCGAUACUCCUCUGCCAUCUGUCUAGAGAGUCGAUUCCCUCUUCACUGAGGGGACGGCCAUCUAGAUCGUUUACUUUGAAAAAAUUAGAGUGUUUCAAGCAGGCGGUGCGUUAUGAAUACAUUAGCAUGGAAUAAUAAGUUAGGACUUCGGUUCUAUUUUGUUGGUUUCUAGAGCUGAAGUAAUGAUUGAUAGGGAUAGUUGGGGGUGCUAGUAUUCAGUGGCCAGAGGUGAAAUUCUCGGAUUCCCUGAAGACUAACUUAUGCGAAAGCAUU